rnacentral:rRNA from 1 species
UACGUAGGUGGCAAGCGUUGUCCGGAAUUAUUGGGCGUAAAGCGCGCGCAGGCGGUUUCUUAAGUCUGAUGUGAAAGCCCACGGCUCAACCGUGGAGGGUCAUUGGAAACUGGGGAACUUGAGUGCAGAAGGGGAAAGUGGAAUUCCAAGUGUAGCGGUGAAAUGCGUAGAGAUUUGGAGGAACACCAGUGGCGAAGGCGGCUUUCUGGUCUGUAACUGACACUGAGGCGCGAAAGCGUGGGGAGCGAACAGG